GCUGGGUGUGGUGGUGCGCACCUGUAGUCCUAGCUACUCAGGAGGCUGAGACAGGAGGAUUGCUUGAGCCCAGGAGAUCAAGGCUGCAGUGAGCUAUGAUCAUGCCACUGCCUUCCAGCCUGGGCAACAGAGCAAGACCCCAUCUCUA
rnacentral:SRP_RNA from 1 species